CCCACUUUCAACCACCUCGACGGGUACGGUGACGACGACUUUGGGGCCUACUCGGGCCAGGUUAACACGGAGUACAGCAACGCGAAGGAGAAAUACA
rnacentral:SRP_RNA from 1 species